GGAGAGGCGGCGGCCAAGCUCUCCACCCUUCUCCUCUCGGAAAGGCUCUGGGAACCGGGCGGGGGUUUGGGCUCGGUGCGGCUCCUCGCUAGGCCGUGACUCAUGGUGCGUCAUCCGAACAGAUGGCAGGAGCCACCGGCGUUUCUGCUGACUCAUCAGAAAGCCGGGCUCGGCGCUGUCUGCGGGGAAGAUAGAUGGGAAGAGGAAAUCUCUGAGCUAGCCAUUGCUGAGAAAGCAUGAGAUGGCAUUUUCUACCCAAAGUCUAUUGGAGACUGAACCA